UACAGAGGGUGCAAGCGUUGUUCGGAAUUACUGGGCGUAAAGGGCGCGUAGGCGGCCUUCUAAGUCGAACGUGAAAUCCCCGGGCUCAACCCGGGAACUGCGUCCGAUACUGGAAGGCUUGAAUCCGGGAGAGGGAUGUGGAAUUCCAGGUGUAGCGGUGAAAUGCGUAGAUAUCUGGAGGAACACCGGUGGCGAAGGCGACAUCCUGGACAGGUAUGGACGCUGAGGCGCGAAAGCCAGGGGAGCAAACGGG
rnacentral:rRNA from 1 species